rnacentral:tRNA from 1 species
UCCUUGGUUGUCCAAUGGCUAAGACUCUGCAUUCCCAGUGCAGAGGGUCCAGGUUCAAACCCAGAUCAGGGAA